UGGGGUAUAGCUUAGUGGUAAAGCACUUACCUAGCAUGUACAAGGCCCUGGGUUUAAUCCCAGCUAUUACAA
rnacentral:tRNA from 1 species